rnacentral:rRNA from 1 species
CCUGCCGAAUGAAUUAGCCCUGAAAAUGGAUGGCGCUGAAGCGGGCGGCCCGACACCAUGCCGUCUGGAAAAAAAUUCGAUUGUUCAGAUGAGUAGGAGGGCGUGGGGGCCGUGUCGAAGCAUGCGUGCAGACGUGUGUGGAACGGCCUCUAGUGCAGAUCUUGGUGGUAGUAGCAAGUAUUCAAGCGAGAUCCUUGAAGGGCGAAGCGGGGAAGGGUUCCACGCGAACAUUGAUUGGGCGUGGGUGAGUCGUUCCUAAGCCGAGUGGCGAUUGCUAAGUAGCGGCGAAAGGGAAGCGGGUUGACAUUCCCGCACACGGAUGUGGAGGCGGCGACGCACUACUGGGGCGAACACGCUGGCGAUGGCGCUGGGCAGAGUUGUCUUUUCUGUUUGACCGUUCUGCGCGCGCGGUGUGGAAUCCGCUUGUCGGGAGAAACACCGCGUGUGCGGGCAGAGCGCCGGGGCUUUUCCGGCGUCCAGCUCGCCAUCGACGGCCCUUGAAACUUUGCCUGCUGGUAUACAAUCCACGCCGUGGCGUACCGAUCACCCGCAUCAGGUCCCCAANGUGAACAGCCUCUGNUCGAUAUGAAAAAUGCAGUAAGGAAGUCGGCAAAAUUAAACCCCGUAACUUUGGAAAAAGGGUUGGUUUUAAUCUUGCCUGGAAAUGGNUUGUCCGGGUUUUGNUUUUUUGGGGCUUUGGGCUNNNNNGNCUUUUUUUUUUCUGGAGUGGGGCCCGCAAGGGACCUGUUUCGGAGGCUGUUGGGCUGAUCGCUCCAGCCCCCGACGACGCCCACGGCAUGCAGCAGACUAGAACUGCAACGGGCAAAGGGAAUCCGACUGUUUAAUUAAAACAAAGCAUUGCGAGGGCCGUGGCCGGUGAUAAC